rnacentral:tRNA from 1 species
GGAGGGGUGCCGGAGUGGCUGAACGGGGCAGUCUCGAAAACUGUUGUAGGGGUAACCCCUCUACCGAGGGUUCGAAUCCCUCCCUCUCCGCCA